CAAUAGCGUAUAUUAAAGUUGUUGCAGUUAAAAAGCUCGUAGUUGAAUUUUUGCUUGCCGCCGAUGUCGGAACUUCCGUACGUUCGGCGGCGUGCAUCCUUGGGUGGAACCUGUGUGGCAUUAGGUUGUCGUGCAGGGGAUGCUCAUCGUUUACUGUGAAAAAAUUAGAGUGUUCAAAGCAGGCUUACGCCGUUGAAUAUAUUAGCAUGGAAUAAUAAGAUAGGACCUUGGUACUAUUUUGUUGGUUUGCGCACCGAGGUAAUGAUUAGCAGGGACAGUUGGGGGUAUUCGUAUUCCAUUGUCAGAGGUGAAAUUCUUGGAUUUCUGGAAGACGAACUACUGCGAAAGCAUUUACCAAGGAUGUUUUCAUUAA
rnacentral:rRNA from 1 species